AUCUCUUCUUGGCCUUUUGGGUAAGAUCAAGUGUAAUUCUUACCUGUUCUUAUCAGUAUAAUGUCUGAUAUGUCCUCUGUCCAUUCUAUAAGGAAAUUUUUGAGAAUGAUACUUUUUUAUUGUUUGCUACUGCAGUAUUAGAGUGUGACUAAGUUAUGUGUAUUGUUUGGCAAUUAGACUGAACUCAUU
rfam:Cavia porcellus supercont2_7 genomic scaffold, whole genome shotgun sequence.